AGACCCGAAACCCGGUGAUCUAGCCAUGGGCAGGUUGAAGGUUGGGUAACACUAACUGGAGGACCGAACCGACUAAUGUUGAAAAAUUAGCGGAUGACCUGUGGCUGGGGGUGAAAGGCCAAUCAAACCGGGAGAUAGCUGGUUCUCCCCGAAAGCUAUUUAGGUAGCGCCUCGUGAAUUCAUCUCCGGGGGUAGAGCACUGUUUCGGCUAGGGGGCCAUCCCGGCUUACCAACCCGAUGCAAACUGCGAAUACCGGAGAAUGUUAUCACGGGAGACACACGGCGGGUGCUAACGUCCGUCGUGAAGAGGGAAACAACCCAGACCGCCAGCUAAGGUCCCAAAGUCAUGGUUAAGUGGGAAACGAUGUGGGAAGGCCCAGACAGCCAGGAUGUUGGCUUAGAAGCAGCCAUCAUUUAAAGAAAGCGUAAUAGCUCACUGGUCGAGUCGGCCUGCGCGGAAGAUGUAACGGGGCUAAACCAUGCACCGAAGCUGCGGCAGCGACACUCAGGUGUUGUUGGGUAGGGGAGCGUUCUGUAAGCCUGUGAA
rnacentral:rRNA from 1 species